CCCCCCCCCACACACACACUGUGUACCCAACACCCAGCUCCACCGGUGGUCAGUGUUGGUUGAUUCGUCUGGUGCCCACCAUCCCCGCAUGUCAGCUCGCUGUGCUCUGGAAGUGUGAUGUUUCUGUGCUUAUCCUUCCUUCUCAGAACUCUGCCAGGUCUUCCCUCCCCACACUGCUUGACUCAACAGGCCAAUGGGACUCAGAAUUUUUCAGCCUGCCAAAUUUCAUAUUAUUUUAGUGCCCUUGGAGCACUUUUAUUUUUCUUUCAGGUUUGGGGGUUUGAAUAAUGACAGAUUCAACUAGUCUCAGGAAGGGAACUCUUGAUCCCUUUCUCUAUUAUGUCUGGAUAUCCAUCCUCCAGACAUGCGCACACUAGGUAGAAAGUUACUAAAGCUUUAUUUAAAUGUCUACCAACAUUAGAAAACAGACGAUAAAACCCGUUAAGUUAGACAUCUCACGAAGAAGCUCAGUAAAGCCACAGUAGCCCUGGUGAAAAUGGGCACAGCCUCAAUGUCUUCAAGCAGAAUCUGAAAGAAAAUGAAUCAGUUAGGAAGUCAAUCACUGCAGGCUGUAUUUUACCUAAAAAGCCAUAAAGUCCAGGUCAUUUUUAAUAAGGAUAACUAUUUGGCAGUUCUCAGAAUUAUAAUUAGGCUAGAGGUUAUUUUCAUCUUUAUUAAAUACCUCCAGGUUACAGGCCAUUGGGCCAGGUGUCAGGGACACAUGGCAAUGACAAGGUAUAUCAGGUCCCUGUUCUCAAAGAGCUCAUAUUCUAUUCCUGUAGAUGGAGUUUCUAAACCAGAGUACUAGCAGCCUUUCUACGAGUGGGACUGCCUGAGCAUCCCUAGCCUUGCCUAGAAGUGGCCUCCAAAGGCCACCUGAUUAGGGCAGUAAUUCCCUCCCAUCUUGAGACCAGAAAAAAGGCACAAAUAAGAAAGUAAAUUCAGUGAUGAGAUCCUGCUGUAUAGCACAGGGAACUAGCUCCAGUCACUUGUGAUGGAACAUGAUGGAGAAUAAUGUGAGAAAAGGAAUAUAUAUGAGACUGGGUCACUUUGCUGUACAGGAGAAAUUGACACAACACUAUAAACCAACUAUAAUGGAAAAAAUAAAAAUCUUUUUUUUGCUUUUUAGGGCCUCACCCAUGGCAUAUGGAGGUUCCCAGGUUAGAGGUUGAAUUGGAGCUGUAGCCACUGGCCUAUGACACAGCCACAGCAAUGCAGGAUCCGAGCCACAUCUGUGACCUACACCAUAGCUCACAGCAACACCAGAUCCUUAACCCAGUGAUCGAGGCCAGGGAUAGAAGCUGCAACCUCAUGGUUCCUAGUCAGAUUCAUUUCUGCAAAGAUAAAAAUCGUAAAAAAAAAAAAAAGUAAAUUCACAAAUCAAUAGAUAAACAUGGUGAUGGGGGCUGUGAUGGAAACGAUCAGAUGGCUGUGCCAGUCAACUAGACUGGGGGAUGCUAUGCAUUGUCCGUGGGGGCCCUUUGAGCAGGUGGCAGUAGGGUCAAUGUCCAGGAUGCUGAGACGGGUGUAGACAUAUGCAUUGUGGGUAUAGGAAACAGCAUGUGUGAAGGCCCUUAAGUGGGAGAGGGCUUAUCAAACUCAAGAAAUAACCGCACAGAGAGAAGAUGGAUGGCCUGUUGCAGAGACAGGCAGGGGCCAGAUAGAGUAAGGACUUCAGAUGAAAAAUUGGGGUUUUACUCUAACUGCUUCUGUCCAAAGUUCAUAAUAACAGAAGUAAAAUCAAUGAAUCACCAAAGUAGUAAUUAGCAAAAUCUUAUUGUGCACAUACCAAAAAGACAUUUUGCAAACUGGGAGCUCAAACUGAAACAUGGAACAAGGCUCAGGGAUAUAUUGUUAUAAGCAGUUUAUUUAGGGAGAAGGAAGUGAUUGUUUAUUCUUCACAGUGAUUGGUUAUAUUAGAAUUUUCUUAAAUGAUAGGGAACUAGUCAGUGGUUACCUCAUUUCAACCUUGGGAAAUAGUUCAAGGUUUGGGUAUGAUUUCCAGAGGCAUAAGCAAGAAAUGACCUAGGUUGAGCUGUCUUGCGAAAUAAGCUAAAUCAGACGUUGCUUGUAUGAUGACAUUGUUUGUCUGCUCACAGAAUUUUCAGGGUUGGUCUCCAUUUGUUUUUUUUUUAGUUUUAAGAAAGGAAUUGGUGUGAUGAUGAUAAUACUAAUAAGUAAUUAACAUUGCUGAGCACAAGCUCUGGGCUAGGUGAAGUUUUAAGCUCUUUAUAUAUAUUGACUCAACAUAGCCUAAUAGCAACCCUGUGAGGUGAGUACUGUUUCCAUUACCGUCUUAUAGGAGGAAACUGAAGCAUGGAGAGCUUAAGAAAUUUGCUCUAAGUCGCACAUCUGGAAAGCUCCGUUUUAAUACCUUAGCAUUCUCCUAACUGUGAAGACGGAGGGGUUGUAUUUGCUGACAGACUGGCAGGAAGGACCUGGGCUGAAGAGUUGUGUUUGCUGCCCACGUCCUCAACAAGCACUUCUCUAGCCCAGAAAGCUGCCGGCAACGGCUAUUCUGAUCCUAUUACAGGCAUGUCCGUCCCUGGACGGAUUAAAUGUUAACCGAGGCACGCACAUGGUGAGGCUCACAAAGUUUGUUAGGUAGUCUUUUAACAAAAACAACAGAAAAAUCUCUAGAAAAAUUGGCCAGGUCUGGCUGGGAAAAUGCAAGGUCUCUCGAAAGCCGUCCUAAAAAAAACCCAGAAGAAUGGGAAGGGUUGGAUUCAGUCACCAAAAAAAAAAAAAAAAAAAA
ensembl:lncRNA